rnacentral:rRNA from 1 species
AUACGUAGGGGGCGAGCGUUGUCCGGAAUGAUUGGGCGUAAAGGGCGCGUAGGCGGCCCGGUAAGUCUGGAGUGCAAGUCCUGUUUUUAAGAUGGGACUUGCUUUGGAUACUGUCGGGCUUGAGUGCAGGAGAGGUAAGUGGAAUUCCCAGUGUAGCGGAGAAAUGCGUAGAGAUUGGGAGGAACAACAGUGGCGAAGGCGACUUACUGGACUGUAACUGACGCUGAGGCGCGAAAGUGUGGGGAGCAAACAGGAUUAGAUACCCUGGUAGUCCACACUGUAAACGAUGAAUGCUAGGUGUAGGGGGUAUCGACCCCUUCUGUGCCGCAGUCAACACAAUAAGCAUUCCGCCUGGGGAGUACGGCCGCAAGGUUGAAACUCAAAUGAAUUGACGGGG